UGAUCCUGGCUCAGAAUGAACGCUGGCGGCGUGCAUAACACAUGCAAGUCGAACGAGAAAUCCCGCCUUCGGGUGGGAGAGUAAAGUGGCGCACGGGUGAGUAACGCGUGGGUAACCUGCCCCUGAAUUCGGGAUAACUCCGCGAAAGCGGUGCUAAUACCGAAUGUCGUCACAGGGACCGUGGUCCCUGGGAUGAAAGGUGACCUCUCCAUGGAAGUUGCCGUUCGGGGAGGGGCUCGCGUACCAUUAGCUUGUUGGUGGGGUAAUGGCCUACCAAGGCUACGAUGGUUAGCUGGUCUGAGAGGAUGAUCAGCCACACUGGCACUGAAACACGGGCCAGACUCCUACGGGAGGCAGCAGUGAGGAAUUUUGCGCAAUGGGGGAAACCCUGACGCAGCAACGCCGCGUGAGUGAAGAAGGCUUUCGGGUCGUAAAGCUCUGUCAAGUGGGAAAAACGACUUCCCGUUAAGAGCGGGAAGGCCUGAUGGUACCACUGGAGGAAGCACCGGCUAACUCCGUGCCAGCAGCCGCGGUAAUACGGAGGGUGCAAGCGUUGUUCGGAAUUACUGGGCGUAAAGAGCGUGUAGGCGGCAAGGUAAGUCAGGCGUGAAAGCCCUGGGCUUAACCCGGGAAGUGCGUUUGAAACUGCCUCGCUCGAGUAUGGGAGAGGAGAGUGGAAUUCCCGGUGUAGAGGUGAAAUUCGUAGAUAUCGGGAGGAACACCCGUGGCGAAGGCGACUCUCUGGACCAAUACUGACGCUGAGACGCGAAAGCGUUGGGGAGCAAACAGGAUUAGAUACCCUGGUA
rnacentral:rRNA from 1 species